rnacentral:rRNA from 1 species
ACGGGUGAGUAACACGUGGAUAACCCACCUAUAAGACUGGGAUAACUUCGGGAAACCGGAGCUAAUACCGGAUAAUAUAUUGAACCGCAUGGUUCAAUAGUGAAAGACGGUUUUGCUGUCACUUAUAGAUGGAUCCGCGCCGCAUUAGCUAGUUGGUAAGGUAACGGCUUACCAAGGCAACGAUGCGUAGCCGACCUGAGAGGGUGAUCGGCCACACUGGAACUGAGACACGGUCCAGACUCCUACGGGAGGCAGCAGUAGGGAAUCUUCCGCAAUGGGCGAAAGCCUGACGGAGCAACGCCGCGUGAGUGAUGAAGGUCUUCGGAUCGUAGAACUCUGUUAUUAGGGAAGAACAAAUGUGUAAGUAACUAUGCACGUCUUGACGGUACCUAAUCAGAAAGCCACGGCUAACUACGUGCCAGCAGCCGCGGUAAUACGUAGGUGGCAAGCGUUAUCCGGAAUUAUUGGGCGUAAAGCGCGCGUAGGCGGUUUUUUAAGUCUGAUGUGAAAGCCCACGGCUCAACCGUGGAGGGUCAUUGGAAACUGGAAAACUUGAGUGCAGAAGAGGAAAGUGGAAUUC